rnacentral:rRNA from 1 species
AUUGAACGCUGGCGGCAGGCCUAACACAUGCAAGUCGAACGAGUGGCGGACGGGUGAGUAAUGUCUGGGAAACUGCCUGAUGGAGGGGGAUAACUACUGGAAACGGUAGCUAAUACCGCAUACCAUCAGAUGUGCCCAGAUGGGAUUAGCUAUUUGGUGGGGUAACGGCUCACCAAGGCGACGAUCCCUAGCUGGUCUGAGAGGAUGACCAGCCACACUGGAACUUGGAAACGGUCCAGACGCCUAAGGGAGGCAGGAGUGGGGAAGAUUUGCCAAGGGGGGCAAGCCUGAUGCAGCCAUGCCGCGUGUAUGAAGAAGGCCUUCGGGGUUGAAAAUAAUUUCAGGGGGGAAGCGUUACCCACAGAAGAAGCACCGGCUAACUCCGUGCCAGCAGGCGCGGGAAUAC